rnacentral:misc_RNA from 1 species
GAUGAAGAACGCAGCGAAAUGCGAUAAGUAAUGUGAAUUGCAGAAUUCAGUGAAUCAUCGAAUCUUUGAACGCACAUUGCGCCCGUCAGUAUUCUGGCGGGCAUGCCUGUUCGAGCGUCAUUACGCCCCUCAAGUCCCCUGUGGACUUGGUGUUGGGGAUCGGCGAGGCUGGUUUUCCAGCACAGCCGUCCCUUAAAUUAAUUGGCGGUCUCGCCGUGGCCCUCCUCUGCGCAGUAGUAAAACACUCGCAACAGGAGCCCGGCGCGGUCCACUGCCGUAAAACCCCCCAACUUUUUAUAGUUGACCUCGAAUCAGGUAGGACUACCCGCUGAACUUAAGCAUAUCGAUAAGCGGAGGA